rnacentral:rRNA from 1 species
CACGUAGGGGCCAAGCGUUGUCCGGAUUUAUUGGGCGUAAAGAGCUCGUAGGCGGUUCGACAAGUCGGGUGUGAAAACUCCGGGCUCAACCCGGAGACGCCACCCGAUACUGUCGUGACUGGAGUCCGGUAGGGGAGUGGGGAAUUCCUGGUGUAGCGGUGAAAUGCACAGAUAUCAGGAGGAACACCGGUGGCGAAGGCGCCACUCUGGGCCGGUACUGACGCUGAGGAGCGAAAGCGUGGGUAGCAAACAGG